CUCAGGAUGAACGCUAGCUACAGGCUUAACACAUGCAAGUCGAGGGGCAUCAGGAAGAAAGCUUGCUUUCUUUGCUGGCGACCGGCGCACGGGUGAGUAACACGUAUCCAACCUGCCCUUUACUCGGGGAUAGCCUUUCGAAAGAAAGAUUAAUACCCGAUAGCAUAAUGAUUCCGCAUGGUUUCAUUAUUAAAGGAUUCCGGUAAAGGAUGGGGAUGCGUUCCAUUAGGUUGUUGGUGAGGUAACGGCUCACCAAGCCUUCGAUGGAUAGGGGUUCUGAGAGGAAGGUCCCCCACAUUGGAACUGAGACACGGUCCAAACUCCUACGGGAGGCAGCAGUGAGGAAUAUUGGUCAAUGGGCGCUAGCCUGAACCAGCCAAGUAGCGUGAAGGAUGAAGGCUCUAUGGGUCGUAAACUUCUUUUAUAUAAGAAUAAAGUGCAGUAUGUAUACUGUUUUGUAUGUAUUAUAUGAAUAAGGAUCGGCUAACUCCGUGCCAGCAGCCGCGGUAAUACGGAGGAUCCGAGCGUUAUCCGGAUUUAUUGGGUUUAAAGGGAGCGUAGGUGGACUGGUAAGUCAGUUGUGAAAGUUUGCGGCUCAACCGUAAAAUUGCAGUUGAUACUGUCAGUCUUGAGUACAGUAGAGGUGGGCGGAAUUCGUGGUGUAGCGGUGAAAUGCUUAGAUAUCACGAAGAACUCCGAUUGCGAAGGCAGCUCACUGGACUGCAACUGACACUGAUGCUCGAAAGUGUGGGUAUCAAACAGGAUUAGAUACCCUGGUAGUCCACACAGUAAACGAUGAAUACUCGCUGUUUGCGAUAUACAGUAAGCGGCCAAGCGAAAGCAUUAAGUAUUCCACCUGGGGAGUACGCCGGCAACGGUGAAACUCAAAGGAAUUGACGGGGGCCCGCACAAGCGGAGGAACAUGUGGUUUAAUUCGAUGAUACGCGAGGAACCUUACCCGGGCUUAAAUUGCAGUGGAAUGAUGUGGAAACAUGUCAGUGAGCAAUCACCGCUGUGAAGGUGCUGCAUGGUUGUCGUCAGCUCGUGCCGUGAGGUGUCGGCUUAAGUGCCAUAACGAGCGCAACCCUUAUCUUUAGUUACUAACAGGUUAUGCUGAGGACUCUAGAGAGACUGCCGUCGUAAGAUGUGAGGAAGGUGGGGAUGACGUCAAAUCAGCACGGCCCUUACGUCCGGGGCUACACACGUGUUACAAUGGGGGGUACAGAAGGCAGCUAGCGGGUGACCGUAUGCUAAUCCCAAAAUCCUCUCUCAGUUCGGAUCGAAGUCUGCAACCCGACUUCGUGAAGCUGGAUUCGCUAGUAAUCGCGCAUCAGCCACGGCGCGGUGAAUACGUUCCCGGGCCUUGUACACACCGCCCGUCAAGCCAUGGGAGCCGGGGGUACCUGAAGUACGUAACCGCAAGGAUCGUCCUAGGGUAAAACUGGUGACUGGGGCUAAGUCGUAACAAGGUAGCCGUACCGGAAGGUGCGG
rnacentral:rRNA from 2 species